rnacentral:rRNA from 1 species
UACGUAGGGCGCAAGCGUUGUCCGGAAUUAUUGGGCGUAAAGAGCUCGUAGGCGGCUUGUCACGUCGGGUGUGAAAGCCCGGGGCUUAACCCCGGGUCUGCAUUCGAUACGGGCAGGCUGGAGUGUGGUAGGGGAGAUCGGAAUUCCUGGUGUAGCGGUGAAAUGCGCAGAUAUCAGGAGGAACACCGGUGGCGAAGGCGGAUCUCUGGGCCAUUACUGACGCUGAGGAGCGAAAGCGUGGGGAGCGAACAGG